GUCUAUGGCCAUGUUACUCUGAACGAGACAGAUCCCGUCUGAUCUUGGAAGCUAAGCAGGGUCAGACCUGGUUAGUACUUGGAUGGGAGACCAUCCAGGAAGACCAGGUGUAAAAAAUA
rnacentral:rRNA from 1 species